rnacentral:misc_RNA from 1 species
UACGUACUGUGCGAACGUUAUUCGGAAUCACUGGGCUUACAGGGUGCGUAGGCGGCUAACCAGGUCCGAUGUGAAAUCCCCCGGCUCAACCGGGGAACUGCAUUGGAAACCGGCUAGCUUGAGUAGGUUAGAGGUGCACGGAACUUCCGGUGGAGCGGUGAUAUGUGUUGAUAUCGGAAGGAACACCAGAGGCGAAAGCGGUGCACUGGGGCCUGACUGACGCUGAGGCACGAAAGCCAGGGGAGCGAACGGG